GACAGAGGUGCCGAGCGUUAGGCGGAAUCACUGGGCUUAAAGCGUGUGUAGGCGGACUCCUAAGUACCUUGUGAAAUCCCACGGCUCAACCGUGGAACUGCUUGGUAUACUGGGCGUCUUGAGCCAGCUAGGGGCAACCGGAACAAACGGUGGAGCGGUGAAAUGCGUAGAUAUUGUUUGGAACGCCGAUGGUGAAAACAGGUUGCUGGGGCUGCGCUGACGCUGAGACACGAAAGCCAGGGGAGCGAACGGG
rnacentral:rRNA from 1 species